rnacentral:rRNA from 1 species
AGAGUUUGAUCAUGGCUCAGGACGAACGCUGGCGGCGUGCCUAAUACAUGCAAGUCGAGCGGAUUCUUGGCUUUCCUUCGGGAAAGCUUUGGGUUAGCGGCGGACGGGUGAGUAACACGUAGGCAACCUGCCGGUCAGAUCGGAAUAACCCACGGAAACGUGAGCUAAAACCGGAUAGAUGAGCCUCUCGCAUGAGGGGCUCAGGAAAGGCGGAGCAAUCUGUCGCUGAUCGAUGGGCCUGCGGCGCAUUAGCUAGUUGGGGAGGUAACGGCUCCCCAAGGCGACGAUGCGUAGCCGACCUGAGAGGGUGAACGGCCACACUGGGACUGAGACACGGCCCAGACUCCUACGGGAGGCAGCAGUAGGGAAUCUUCGGCAAUGGACGAAAGUCUGACCGAGCAACGCCGCGUGAGUGAAGAAGGGUUUCGGCUCGUAAAACUCUGUUGCCAGGGAAGAAUGCAUGGGAGAGUAACUGCUCCUGUGGUGACGGUACCUGAGAAGAAAGCCCCGGCUAACUACGUGCCAGCAGCCGCGGUAAUACGUAGGGGGCAAGCGUUGUCCGGAAUUAUUGGGCGUAAAGCGCGCGCAGGCGGUUUUUUAAGUCCGAUGUUUAAACCGAGGGCUCAACCCUCGGUCGCAUGGGAAACUGGGAGACUGGAGUGCAGGAGAGGAAAGUGGAAUUCCACGUGUAGCGGUGAAUGCGUAGAGAUGUGGAGGACACCAGUGGCGAAGGCGACUUUUCUGGCCUGUAACUGACGCUGAGCGCGAAGCGUGGGAGCAAACAGGAUUAGAUACCUGGUAGCACGCUGUAACGAUGAAUGCUUAGUGUUAGGGGUUUCAUACCCUUGGUGCGAAGUUACCAGUAAGCAUUCGCUGGGAGUACGCUCGAAGAGGAACUCAAAGGAAUUGACGGGACCCCACAGCAGUGGAGUAUGUGUUAAUUCGAAGCAACGCGAAGAACUUACCAGGUCUUGACAUCCCUCUGAACCACGUGGAGAUCAUGUGGGCCUUCGGGACAGAGGAGACAGGUGGUGCAUGGUUGUCGUCAGCUCGUGUCGUGAGAUGUUGGGUUAAGUCCCGCAACGAGCGCAACCCUUGAUCUUAAGUUGCCAGCACGCAAGGUGGGCACUCUAGGAUGACUGCCGGUGACAAACCGGAGGAAGGCGGGGAUGACGUCAAAUCAUCAUGCCCCUUAUGACCUGGGCUACACACGUACUACAAUGGCCGGUACAACGGGCAGCGAAAGAGCGAUCUGGAGCGAAUCUCAAAAAGCCGGUCUCAGUUCGGAUUGCAGGCUGCAACUCGCCUGCAUGAAGUCGGAAUUGCUAGUAAUCGCGGAUCAGCAUGCCGCGGUGAAUACGUUCCCGGGUCUUGUACACACCGCCCGUCACACCACGAGAGUUUACAACACCCGAAGUCGGUGGGGUAACCGUUCUAGAGGUUAGAGGUUAGAAACGAGAAGUUGGAUGUUGGAAGAGAUGAAAUCGGCUUGCUGAUUGUAUCGAUUCUUACUGUCUAACCGCUACCUUCUAAUUUCCAACUUCUAGAAUGGGGCCAGCCGCCGAAGGUGGGGUAGAUGAUUGGGGUGAAGUCGUAACAAGGUAGCCGUAUCGGAAGGUGCGGCUGGAACACCUCCUU